rnacentral:rRNA from 1 species
AUACGUAGGGUGCGAGCGUUGUCCGGAAUUACUGGGCGUAAAGAGCUCGUAGGUGGUUUGUCGCGUCGUCUGUGAAAUUCCGGGGCUUAACUCCGGGCGUGCAGGCGAUACGGGCAUAACUUGAGUACUGUAGGGGAGACUGGAAUUCCUGGUGUAGCGGUGCAAUGCGCAGAUAUCAGGAGGAACACCGGUGGCGAAGGCUGGUCGCUGGGCAGGAACUGACGCUGAGGAGCGAAAGCAUGGGUAGCGAACAGGAUUAGAUACCCUGGUAGUCCAUGCCGUAAACGGUGGGCGCUAGGUGUAGGGGCCUUCCACGACUUCUGUGCCGUAGCUAACGCAUUAAGCGCCCCGCCUGGGGAGUACGGCCGCAAGGCUAAAACUCAAAUGAAUUGACGGGG